GAUGAACGCUGGCGGCGUGCCUAAUACAUGCAAGUCGAGCGAACAGAUGAGGAGCUUGCUCCUCUGACGUUAGCGGCGGACGGGUGAGUAACACGUGGAUAACCUACCUAUAAGACUGGGAUAACUUCGGGAAACCGGAGCUAAUACCGGAUAAUAUAUUGAACCGCAUGGUUCAAUAGUGAAAGACGGUUUUGCUGUCACUUAUAGAUGGAUCCGCGCCGCAUUAGCUAGUUGGUAAGGUAACGGCUUACCAAGGCAACGAUGCGUAGCCGACCUGAGAGGGUGAUCGGCCACACUGGAACUGGGACACGGUCCAGGCUCCUACGGGCAGCAGCAAUAGGGAAACUUCCGCAAUGGGCGAAAGCCUGACGGAGCAACGCCGCGUGAGUGAUGAAGGUCUUCCGAUCGUAAAACUCUGUUAUUAGGGAAGAACAAAUGUGUAAGUAACUAUGCACGUCUUGACGGUACCUAAUCAGAAAGCCACGGCUAACUACGUG
rnacentral:rRNA from 1 species